GCUGGGCGCGGUGGCCCCUGCCUGUAAUCCUAGUGGCUCAGGAGGCUGAGGCAGGAGGAUUGUAAGUUCAAAACCAGCCUCAG
rnacentral:sRNA from 1 species